rnacentral:rRNA from 1 species
AGCGAACGCUGGCGGCAGGCCUAACACAUGCAAGUCGAACGAACCUUUCGGGGUUAGUGGCGGACGGGAGAGUAACACGUGGGAACGUGCCUUUAGGUUCGGAAUAACUCAGGGAAACUUGUGCUAAUACCGAAUGUGCCCUUCGGGGGAAAGAUUUAUCGCCUUUAGAGCGGCCCGCGUCUGAUUAGCUAGUUGGUUGAGUUAAUGGCUCACCAAGGCGACGAUCAGUAGCUGGUCUGAGAGGAUGAUCAGACACAUUGGGACUGAGACACGGCCCAAACUCCUACGGGAGGCAGCAGUGGGGAAUCUUGCGCAAUGGGCGAAAGCCUGACGCAGCCAGGCCGCGUGAAUGAUGAAGGUCUUAGGAUUGUAAAAUUAUUUCACCGGGGACGAUAAUGACGGUACCCGGAGAAGAAGCCCCGGCUAACUUCGUG